CACAUCGCCACGUGCAUUCUUUCACUUUAAUUUUUCAUUCAAAAUGGCCAGUCGAGUUUUCUCUUCGCAUUCUCAACUAAAAUUAAACAAAAUGAAUGCCACGCGGUAGCAGCAACUAUCUACAUUAAAAUGAAGUGGAAAAACGUUUUUAUAUCGGUUUUUGGUAGACAAAUCCCACGUGUUGAAAAAGUAAGAGAUACUUUUGAAGAGUUAACUUCGUAGAAUGGACCUCGGCAUAGACCGACGGACGCGAAGGGAAAGCAAGACAUAUUCAGUGCUUUCUGAAUUCCCGAGCAAUGAUAAAGAUCAGAAAAAUGCGCAGAAUGGUGUUGAAUUGGUUACACAAUAAACAAAAAUCAGAUACCAACUAAAUUGAACAUGUCAUCAACUACCUUUUUGGAGUUCUAUAUAGAUGAUGGACUCCAAAGGAAGGCUAAGAAAUGCUGACCACAAGCUCUGAACUAUAAGAAAUCUGUAUUAAAAUGAAUAGUUGUGGCUGCCGAAUCUAAAAAACUUCACAGCUUGGAGAUCAGCAUAGAUUCUGAAUAUCUCAUUCUUUAUUCCCUUCGUCUUCGUAGUUUAAUGAUACAACUGGAAGAAUUGGGUUCAUAAAAUUUAUUACUAAUUCAGUCCCAAAAAAAAUGAUAUCAAAAUUACAUAUUGACCAAGCUGCAGAAGGAUAUGGCUGAUCGAUAAAGGUACUUAGACAAACCCCAGUAAUCAAUAGAAGACAAUGACUUAAAAAGAAGCUAAGAUGUACUUAAUGUUUGUAGCAUCAAGGAUUCCAUAUUGGAAAGUCAUCAAACCGAUUAAAGACUGCAUCAAAAUGCUAAACAGAACUGUGGAAUUACCAGGGCAUAUAAUUAAAUGUUAACUAGGCUUAUAAAAGGGUCUUAUGGAAAUGGUGUUAACAUGUGAUCUAUCCGAUCUGCGAAGAAUGUAGCAAAAAAAAAAGAUAAUAAAACAACAUCAACCUUGUGUAUAUUUGGCUUUUAUGAUUCAGCCGAGUUGUGAUAUGCCACAAAUUGCAAAGAAGACAACCAGCAAAUAAUUCUAAAAAUAAAACUGAUAAGAGCAAAUCGAUGAAUAAAAAUACACAAUAUUUUGUUUAAUAUAA